rnacentral:lncRNA from 1 species
UAUAAUCCAGCAAAUAAUUAUAUGGAGUAGUCUCAUUUCAAUAUUUAAGUAUCUUUCAUGAAUUCUCUGAAAUUGACCAUGAUCCUCUACCCCAAUAAUAGUUUCUAUUCUUGUAGUUCUAUCUCUUCUACUAUCCCGCAGCUCACCUAUGGUUGGAAGUUUUAAAAUUUCUCCUAAUAUUUUAUCAUCCAAAUAAAUUUUUUUUCCCUUAACUGAAAAUAAUACAGUAUAU